rnacentral:rRNA from 1 species
CUAAGGCUCCAGAGGAAGCCACGGCUAACUCUGUGCCAGCAGCCGCGGUAAUACAGAGGCGGCAAGCGUUGUUCGGAAUUAUUGGGCGUAAAGAGCACGUAGGCGGCCUUGCAAGUCAGUUGUGAAAGCCUUCCGCUUAACGGAAGAAUGCCAGCUGAUACUACAGGGCUUGAGUACGGGAGGGGAGAGUGGAACUUCUGGUGGAGCGGUGAAAUGCGUAGAUAUCAGAAAGAACGCCGGCGGCGAAAGCGACUCUCUGGCCCGAAACUGACGCUGAGUGUGCGAAAGCUAGGGGAGCAAACGGGAUUAGAUACCCCGGUAGUCCUAGCCGUAAA